GCUGAUGGUUGAGACAUCUUUGGAUAAAGAAACAAUGAAAUCAGUUAUCUUAACUUGCACCAACAGGGGUGCUUGAAAGAGUUGGAGUAAACAUUGGAACAGUUUUAUACAAAGGAAAGACGCAUACAGAUUUGUUUGUCCAUAUGAGACCUCUGUUGCUCCCAUUCCAGCUACAGUAUCCCACUUGGUCCAGCUCUUUCUCCUGAAGCUUCACCAACUCCACAAGUCGAAAGAUGACGAUCAUGGAGGGAGGAGGAGGAAGAAGGGGCUGAAGGAGAAGGUAAAGGAAAAGAUGCUAGGACAUCAUCACGAGCCCCAGGCAGUGUCAACCACAACGCCUGGCGGUUAUUCGUCGGCUCAGUACGGUGGGCAGCAUGAGAAGAAGAGAAUAAAGGAGAAGAUCAAGGAGAAGCUGCCGGGACAUCACUGAGGACUUGCACUCCUCAUGUUUGUGUAUACUAAUAAAGUAGAGUUACUACUGUGAAUUUUAGAAAGGAAUGGACUAAAUAAU